rnacentral:rRNA from 1 species
AAACUUUCAGCAGCGGAUCUCUUGGCACUGGCAUCGAUGAAGAACGCAGCGAAAUGCGAUGAGUAAUGUGAAUUGCAGAAUUCAGUGAAUCAUCGAAUCUUUGAACGCACAUUGCGCCCGCCAGCACUCUGGCGGGCAUGCCUGUCCGAGCGUCAUUU